rnacentral:rRNA from 1 species
GAAAAGAAACCAACAGGGAUUGCCUCAGUAACGGCGAGUGAAGCGGCAAUAGCUCAAAUUUGAAAUCUGGCCCUUUCAGGGUCCGAGUUGUAAUUUGCAGAGGGCGCUUUGGAGUCGGCAGCAGCCUAAGUUCCUUGGAACAGGUCAUCAUAGAGGGUGAGAAUCCCGUAUGUGGCUGCUUGCCUUCGCCGUGUAAAGCCCCUUCGAUGAGUCGAGUUGUUUGGGAAUGCAGCUCUAAAUGGGAGGUAAAUUUCUUCUAAAGCUAAAUAUUGGCCAGAGACCGAUAGCGCACAAGUAGAGUGAUCGAAAGAUGAAAAGCACUUUGGAAAGAGAGUCAAAAAGCACGUGAAAUUGUUGAAAGGGAAGCGCUUGCAGCCAGACGUGCCCGUAGUUGCUCAUCUGGGGUUCUCCCCAGUGCACUCUUCUAUGGGCAGGCCAGCAUCAGUCCGGGCGGUUGGAGAAAGACCUGUGUCACGUAGCUCUCUUCGGGGAGUGUUAUAGGGCAGGUGGAAUGCAACCAGCCUGGACUGAGGUCCGCGCAUCUGCUAGGAUGCUGGCGUAAUGGCUGUAAGCGGCCCGUCUUGAAACACGGACCAAGGAGUCUAACAUCUAUGCGAGUGUUUGGGUGUCAAGCCCGAGCGCGUAAUGAAAGUGAACGGAGGUGGGAACCCCUCGGGGUGCACCAUCGACCGAUCCUGAUGUCUUCGGAUGGAUUUGAGUAAGAGCAUAGCUGUUGGGACCCGAAAGAUGGUGAACUAUGCCUGAAUAGGGUGAAGCCAGAGGAAACUCUGGUGGAGGCUCGCAGCGGUUCUGACGUGCAAAUCGAUCGUCAAAUUUGGGCAUAGGGGCGAAAGACUAAUCGAACUAUCUAGUAGCUGGUUCCUGC